rnacentral:rRNA from 1 species
GGCUUUUUGAAAUUGUUGGUCUUCUGUCGGAGAUGCAGCUACAUCCACCU